CACGUAGGCGGCUUUUUAAGUCAGGGGUGAAAUCCUGGAGCUCAACUCCAGAACUGCCCUUGAUACUGAGAAGCUUGAGUCCGGGAGAGGUGAGUGGAACUGCGAGUGUAGAGGUGAAAUUCGUAGAUAUUCGCAAGAACACCAGUGGCGAAGGCGGCUCACUGGCCCGGUACUGACGCUGAGGUGCGAAAGCGUGGGAGCAAACAGGAUUAGAUACCCUGGUAGUCCACGCCGUAAACGAUGGAUGCUAGCCGUUGUCGGGUUUACUCGUCAGUGGCGCAGCUAACGCAUUAAGCAUCCCGCCUGGGGAGUACGGUCGCAAGAUUAAAA
rnacentral:rRNA from 1 species